AUGCAUGUUGAUACUAUAAUGGAAUCUCGUGAUGCAACAUUUUUUGAGAACAUAUUUCCUAUGAAAGAUAUGCAUAGCAUUGCUAGAUUUUCUUCUGAGAUAAUUCCUGAAUCUAGUACAACUGAUGAAUAUUUCGAACAAUCACAUGAGGAAGUCCUUGAGAAGGAUAACAAUGAAGUUCCUAGAAGGAACAAGAGACAAAGGAUUGCAAAAUCCUUUGGUGAUGAUUUCAUUGUAUACCUUGUGGACGACACACCCAAGACGAUUGCAGAAGCAUAUGCAUCUCCGGAUGUAGAUGAUUGGAAAGAAGCUGUUCAUAAUGAGAUGGACUCAAUUAUUUCUAAUGGAACUUGGGAACUAACUGAUAGACCAUAUGGUUGUAAACCUGUGGGCUGUAAGUGGGUGUUCAAAAAGAAGCUAAAGCCUGAUGGUACUAUUGAUAAGUACAAGGCGCGGCUAGUGGCCAAGGGCUACACUCAGAAAGAAGGCGAAGAUUACUUUGACACCUAUUCACCCGUUGCUAGAAUGACCACCAUUCGAGUGUUACUUUCCUUGGCUGCCUCUUAUGGUCUUAUCAUUCAUCAAAUGGACGUAAAGACAACUUUUCUCAAUGGAGAGUUGGAAGAGGAGAUCUAUAUGGAUCAGCCUGACGGGUUUGUGGUAAAGGGUGAAGAGAGAAAGGUGUGCAAGUUGUUAAAAUCUUUGUAUGGUCUGAAACAGGCACCUAAGCAAUGGCAUGAGAAGUUUGAAAGAACUCUGACUUCUGCAGGAUUUGUCAUUAACGAGGCCGAUAGGUGUGUUUACUAUCGCCAUGGUGGGGGCAAUAGUGUCAUAUUAUGUUUGUAUGUGGACGACAUACUGAUCUUUGGUACAAACAUUAAUGCAAUUAAUGAGGUCAAGUCUUUUCUAUCAAAAAGUUUUGACAUGAAAGAUCUGGGAGAAGCCGAUGUAAUUCUAAACAUCAAACUUAUUAAGGAUGAGAGUGGGAUUACAUUAACGCAAUCUCACUAUGUUGAGAAGGUCUUGAACCGAUUCGGUUUUAUGGAUAGCAAGCCUUCUCCAACACCUUAUGAUCCCAGCGUGACACUCAGAAAGAACAAGAAAGAAACGAGAGAUCAAUUAAGAUACUCUCAAAUUGUCGGUUCACUCAUGUACUUAGCUAGCGCUACAAGACCAGAUAUCUCUUUUGCUGUGAGCAAACUGAGUAGGUUCAUGUCCAACCCGGGUGAUGAUCAUUGGCAUGCACUAGAAAGGGUCUUGCGCUAUCUGAGAGGUACUAUGAGUUACGGAAUUACUUAUUCAGGGCAUCCUGCUGUGCUAGAAGGAUAUAGUGAUUCAAAUUGGAUCUCCGAUGUUGAUGUACUCUACGCAACAAGUGGGUAUGUAUUUACUCAUGGUGGUGGCGCAGUGUCAUGGAGGUCUUGCAAGCAAACCAUAUUGACGAGGUCAACUAUGGAAGCAGAAUUAACUGCUUUGGACACAGCUACUGUUGAGGCAGAAUGGCUGCGUGAGCUCUUGAUGGACUUGCCGGUUGUUGAAAAACCUGUACCGGCUAUUCUUAUGAAUUGUGAUAACCAAACGGUUAUCGCUAAAGUGAACAAUUCUAAAGAUAAUGCAAAGUCAUCAAGACACGUGAAAAGACGUUUGAAGUCUGUCAGGAAGUUGAGAAACUCCGGAGUAAUAACUGUUACGUAUAUACAAACAGACAAAAACCUGGCAGAUCCCUUUACAAAGGGACUAUCACGAAAUGUGAUAGAUAUUGCAUCGAGGGAGAUGGGUACGAGACCCAUA
rnacentral:rRNA from 1 species